rnacentral:sRNA from 1 species
AUUUUCUCACCUCUGGGGAAACCACAAGGAGCUGGAGGAGCUGACAAGCACAAGUGUGGAACACAUCAUUGUCAAUCCUAAUGCUGCCUAUGACAAGUUCAAAGACAAGAGAGUGGGGACAAAGGGACUUGAUUUCUCAGAUCGUAUUGGAAAAACCAAGAGGACAGGAUAUGAAUCUGGAGAAUAUGAGAUGCUUGGAGAGGGUCUGGGAGUGAAGGAGACACCCCAGCAAAAGUACCAGCGCCUGCUGCAUGAGGUCCAAGAGCUAACCACUGAAGUUGAAAAAAUCAAGACGACAGUGAAGGAGUCAGCCACAGAGGAGAAGCUGACCCCUGUGGUGCUAGCUAAACAGCUGGCAGCCCUGAAGCAGCAGCUGGUUGCUUCCCACCUGGAGAAGCUUCUGGGACCAGAUGCUGCAAUCAACCUUACCGACCCCGAUGGCGCCCUGGCUAAGCGCCUACUACUGCAGCUGGAAGCAACAAAGAACAGCAAAGGGGGAUCAGGGGGAAAAACCACUGGGACCCCCCCAGAUAGCAGCCUUG